UUUUUGCAAACUGAGAGAACACAUAUUUAUAAAUCUCUUGAUCCUCCAGCUUGCCAGUAUGGUAAGUUCCACUGUAAAUUGAUCAUAAAAAUCACAUUAAAGGACAUAGAAAUUCCCAUAGAUAACAUUUUAAUCAAAUCAAAUCUAAAAAAGCCAAACUCAUAAAUGGGGAUGGCCUGCUGUACUCUGAAAAUGGCAGGUUUCUACAGGAAAAAACUAGCCCCAGAAGCAAUGCUGGCAUUUUUUCAUCUCUAAGGGAUGGAUCUGAGGAGACCCAUGAUGAGACACAAACUUCAACUUAUUCAUGGGUCAUACCAAAGUCCAAGAUUUAGUCCCCCAAAUCUAUUCAUGAGAUAUACCUGAGGUUGAGUUAUACAUCUAUAUAUGGUAAUUUGUUGGUUUUUUAAACUUAUUAAACGUAUAAUCUAUUGCCUGAUACCACAGAGGAGUAGCCAGGUUACGCUUCAUUAGAUUCUCAAUCCAUGCAUAUAAUAGGAACAGAAUAACAAUUAAGGAGAUUGAACAGGAUGUUCUUGAGGGGAUAAAAUGAAGUGCCUUGUUCACCUUUCUGGGAGUCAGCACAGAUCAGCAUUUCGACAGAAUCCACCUCAAUCCAAGAUGUUUAUCCUGAUCCAGAUUCUACUCUUUGCUAUUUCUGCUUUUCUCUGCUUCACACCUGGAGAUGUUCUGAAAUGCCGAGAUGACAGCCAUAUAUUCUACAGUCAUUCUUCUGAGUUUAAUUACUGUGAAAUUGAUCCUGUCAUAGGAACAUGUCAUACUCUAAAGACUUAUUAUUUGGAAGGAGAUUAUACACAGAUAUACCGGUCAUGCCAACUGAAGAAAGAUGCGAAUUGUGGCGUAUCAAGGGUUAACCUACAAGGCGGCUGGAUCAAAAAUUUGUGCUGCUCAAAUAGGAACUUCUGCAAUUUGAAUUUGUAAAUCGGACACAAAGCAUAGUCAUUUCAGUUUUACCAGGGAGGUGAGGUAGACACCAUCCCUCUUUCUCUGUGGUAAGGCAAGAGCUACGUGCCCAUCUUUCUCUGCAUGGACAUUUCUGAGUAUCCAGGCAACAAAAUGAUGUUGGCUCUUGGUCUUUCUUCUCAAAGGAGCACCAAUAGAAUAAAACGGGGCCAUUUCCUUUUUUUUAAGGCUCUCCUGGGAUGUCCUUUCUGCUUAGCCAACAGCUUCUAAAGUUUAUUUCCUUAUGAUCAGCUCUUGUCUUUAAAAAGUAGGUGUAUAUGGUAUAAUGGAUAUACAAAUUCUGUAUAAUGUUUCUUGAAUCUGUUGUUUCUAUCCUACAUCAAGUCAAAAUAAACACUCCAUAAAUGAA